ensembl:misc_RNA Metazoa_SRP Metazoan signal recognition particle RNA
GCUGGGCAUGGUGGUGCAUGCCUGUAAUCCCAGCUACUUGGGAGGCUGAGGCAUGAGAAUCGCUUGAAACCGGGAGGCGGGGGUUGCAAUGAGCCAAGAUCUUGCCACUGCAUUCCAGCCUGGGUGACAGAGUGAGACUCUGUCUCAA